GCUCAACCGGGGAGGGUCAUUGGAAACUGGGGAACUUGAGUGCAGAAGAGGAGAGUGGAAUUCCACGUGUAGCGGUGAAAUGCGUAGAGAUGUGGAGGAACACCAGUGGCGAAGGCGACUCUCUGGUCUGUAACUGACGCUGAGGCGCGAAAGCGUGGGGAGCGAACAGGAUUAGAUACCCUGGUAGUCCACGCCGUAAACGAUGAGUGCUAAGUGUUAGAGGGUUUCCGCCCUUUAGUGCUGCAGCAAACGCAUUAAGCACUCCGCCUGGGGAGUACGGUCGCAAGACUGAAACUCAAAGGAAUUGACGGGGGCCCGCACAAGCGGUGGAGCAUGUGGUUUAAUUCGAAGCAACGCGAAGAACCUUACCAGGUCUUGACAUCCUCUGGCAACCCUAGAGAUAGGGCUUCCCCUUCGGGGGCAGAGUGACAGGUGGUGCAUGGUUGUCGUCAGCUCGUGUCGUGAGAUGUUGGGUUAAGUCCCGCAACGAGCGCAACCCUUGAUCUUAGUUGCCAGCAUUCAGUUGGGCACUCUAAGGUGACUGCCGGUGACAAACCGGAGGAAGGUGGGGAUGACGUCAAAUCAUCAUGCCCCUUAUGACCUGGGGCUACACACGCGCUACAAUGGGCAGAACAAAG
rnacentral:rRNA from 1 species